rnacentral:miRNA from 1 species
AACCUCAUUGGCCAGAAGGGAUUCCUUCCAGUCAAUGAGGUAUAACAACCUCAUCGGCCAGAAGGGAUUCCUUCCGGUCAAUGAGGUA